CCUACCUUAGCUCAGUUGGUAGAGCGGAGGACUGUAGUCUGACUCUUUAUUAACUGAAAUCCUUAAGUCGCUGGUUCGAAUCCACAGGUCGGA
rnacentral:tRNA from 1 species